rnacentral:rRNA from 1 species
UACGUAGGGUGCAAGCGUUAAUCGGAAUUACUGGGCGUAAAGCGUGCGCAGGCGGUUUGAUAAGCCGGAUGUGAAAUCCCCGGGCUCAACCUGGGAACUGCGUUUGGAACUGUCAGACUAGAGUGCGGCAGAGGGGGGUGGAAUUCCGCGUGUAGCGGUGAAAUGCGUAGAGAUGCGGAGGAACACCGAUGGCGAAGGCAGCCCCCUGGCCUGACACUGACGCUCAUGCGCGAAAGCGUGGGGAGCAAACAGG